UAGUGAGAAAAGAUACGGGGAUUUAUGGUCUCACUGAGGGUGUGGCUCUUGAUAGAGCAAAAUGACGAAACAAGAUUCAUGAAGCCAACCCGAAAUAGUUGGGAUAAGACUCUGAUGAUGAUGAUGACUUGUUUUCUGAUGUUAUCUAACAUUAGCUGGUAUCCAUUCUUUCCACUUACAUUAAGGGCAUGUUUGAUAACAAGAAGUUACUUACCAAAAGAUGGAACUUACUUGUUACUGUAGAAGUUGUAUGUUUGAUAAAAAAAUGUAAGUUACGAGAACUUCUUAGUACCGUAGAAGUUACCCCUUUAGGCUUAGAAAAGUUCCGUGUUUUUACACAACUUAAAAAAGGAACUUUAUGCCAAUGAAAAAAGGGAACUUUGUCCAUGAUGAAACAGGCUGGAAGCCUUGUGAAGAACUUCUCACUGAUGAAACCCUAGCUGCAGACCCAACCCUAGCCGCAGAGAUGAAAACCACAAAGGCGAGAGACCAUCCUUGCCGCUUCCCUCUUCGCCAAUGAGCCUCCUCGCCAAAGCUUCCUCACAACAAGAGCCCAUUGAUUCACUGUCCAUUGAAGGCGUUCUAUACACAAGAUCAGAGGAUUAUGGUUAUUUUAUUCAGAGCAACAUAAUAUGAGGUUUGUGAAGGAGACAUGGAUUCUAUGAGUUGUAGCUUAGCUGGAGUGAAUCAUAGUAUAUAGUGCCCUUUGGUGCUGAAGGUCCAUUGAGGCAUUUUUGUGUUUUGAUCCAUGAAGGGUCAUUGUAAGUUUACCAUUAUGUGGGUUCACUGUGAAAUUCAUGUUACCGCUUGCUGCUACCUCAGGUUUCAUGUACCCAUUUGAUUUUUCUUGUGGUGGACUGGAAUUUUGGUACGAAUUUUGGGCCUUUUGAACAAGCAGUUUACUUCAAAUUAGUUUUUUCUUCAAGUUUGUAAUAAAGAGAAAGAAGGUUGUGAGUUUGUAGUCUCGUAUUGAAGAAUAGAAAAAAAAGAAAGAACUGUUGAUAAUUUCAAAAAAAAAAAAGAAGAUGAAAGAGUGGUAUCUACUCUUUGUAGCCUGAUAUUUAUGGAACAGAUGGGAAAGAAUGAGAUUCUAUGUACACGCCAGGACAUUUGAGACACACUUUGCAUGCUUGUAUCGGCGUUGAGGCGCCUUUAACCUGUGUACGAGUAGGUUUUGUAACUCGCCCCUUUUGUACGAGAUGCAAUCCAGAUUCAACCGCACAUCGGACAGCAUGUGUGCACCCAGAUUCAACCGCACAUUAGACAGCAUGUGUGCACCGCAGUGGCUAUAAUACUAGCCGUUGGAUUGGCAGCACAGUUGUGAUGGUUUAUUCGAUUGGCACGGCAGUUGUGAUGGUUAGUGACUGUUGGAGCGGUGGUUGUAGUUUAUGACUAUUGGAUGGCUGUUAGAUCAAUUAUGACCAUUGGAUGGUGA